GACGAACGCUGGCGGCGUGCUUAACACAUGCAAGUCGAACGGAAAGGCCCUGCUUUUGUGGGGUGCUCGAGUGGCGAACGGGUGAGUAACACGUGAGUAACCUGCCCUUGACUUUGGGAUAACUUCAGGAAACUGGGGCUAAUACCGGAUAGGAGCUCCUGCUGCAUGGUGGGGGUUGGAAAGUUUCGGCGGCUGGGGAUGGACUCGCGGCUUAUCAGCUUGUUGGUGGGGUAGUGGCUUACCAAGGCUUUGACGGGUAGCCGGCCUGAGAGGGUGACCGGCCACAUUGGGACUGAGAUACGGCCCAGACUCCUACGGGAGGCAGCAGUGGGGAAUAUUGCACAAUGGGCGGAAGCCUGAUGCAGCAACGCCGCGUGCGGGAUGACGGCCUUCGGGUUGUAAACCGCUUUCGCCUGUGACGAAGCGUGAGUGACGGUAAUGGGUAAAGAAGCACCGGCUAACUACGUGCCAGCAGCCGCGGUGAUACGUAGGGUGCGAGCGUUGUCCGGAUUUAUUGGGCGUAAAGGGCUCGUAGGUGGUUGAUCGCGUCGGAAGUGUAAUCUUGGGGCUUAACCCUGAGCGUGCUUUCGAUACGGGUUGACUUAAGGAAGGUAGGGGAGAAUGGAAUUCCUGGUGGAGCGGUGGAAUGCGCAGAUAUCAGGAGGAACACCAGUGGCGAAGGCGGUUCUCUGGGCCUUUCCUGACGCUGAGGAGCGAAAGCGUGGGGAGCGAACAGGCUUAGAUACCCUGGUAGUCCACGCUGUAAACGGUGGGUACUAGGUGUGGGGUCCAUUCCACGGGUUCCGUGCCGUAGCUAACGCUUUAAGUACCCCGCCUGGGGAGUACGGCCGCAAGGCUAAAACUCAAAGGAAUUGACGGGGCCCCGCACAAGCGGCGGAGCAUGCGGAUUAAUUCGAUGCAACGCGUAGAACCUUACCUGGGUUUGACAUGGAUCGGGAGUGCUCAGAGAUGGGUGUGCCUCUUUUGGGGUCGGUUCACAGGUGGUGCAUGGCUGUCGUCAGCUCGUGUCGUGAGAUGUUGGGUUAAGUCCCGCAACGAGCGCAACCCUUGUUCACUGUUGCCAGCACGUUAUGGUGGGGACUCAGUGGAGACCGCCGGGGUCAACUCGGAGGAAGGUGGGGAUGACGUCAAGUCAUCAUGCCCCUUAUGUCCAGGGCUUCACGCAUGCUACAAUGGCUGGUACAGAGAGUGGCGAGCCUGUGAGGGUGAGCGAAUCUCGGAAAGCCGGUCUCAGUUCGGAUUGGGGUCUGCAACUCGACCUCAUGAAGUCGGAGUCGCUAGUAAUCGCAGAUCAGCAACGCUGCGGUGAAUACGUUCCCGGG
rnacentral:rRNA from 1 species